rnacentral:rRNA from 1 species
CCCUACGGGGUGCAGGAACGGACCCCAAGGAAGGCACAGCACUGGGAAUCGCCAUACUGGAAUACCUGGGAGACAGGGGGGCGCGCACCGUCGUCACCACCCAUUACAGCGAGCUCAAAUACUUUGCAUCCACCGACAGCAGGGCCAGGAAUGCCUCAGUUGAAUUUGACAGCGAGACGCUCCAGCCUUCCUACAGAAUCGAAAUAGGCCUGCCGGGGAGCUCCUGCGCGCUCGCCAUCGCCGGCCGCCUGGGACUUCCCGCACCCAUCAGAGAAAGGGCAGACGAGCUCAUAAGCAAAGAGUUCGUAUCGCUCGACAAGCUCAUCGAACAGCUCAAAGGCAAGGAAAAUGAAUUGGCGGGAGAGC